rnacentral:lncRNA from 1 species
AAUGAGUGAUGGUUUGUAGUGUGCUGUCAGAUUCUCCAGUGUUCUACUCACUACAUUGGAUUUUCUUUCAAUGCUUUUGGAUUGAAACUAAAAAUCCUGAUGAGUUAAAUAGUACCCUAGUUAAGCAGUAAUGCAAGCUGAAGAAAAUUCUUCCACUGUUAGGCUGGGCGUGGUGGCUCACACCCACCAGCACUCACACCAGCAUUUUGGGAGGCCAAGGCGGGUGGAUCACCUGAGGUUAGGAGUUCGAGACCAGCUUGGCCAACGUGGUGAAACCCCGUCUCUACUGAAAAUACAAAAAUUAGCCAGGCAUGAUGGCAGGUGCCUGUAAUCCCAGCUACUCGGGGGGCUGAGGCGGGAGAAUCGCUUGAACCCAGGAGGCGGAGGUUGCAGUGAGCAGAGAUGGUGCCAUUGCACACCAGCCUGGGAGACAGAACGAAACUCCAUCUCAAAACAACAACAACAAAGAAAAUUCUUCCACCGUGUAGAAAAUGCAUCAACAUUAUUCUAAGACUUUCUUCAGGAAAUCCCAGGCAUUUAAAGUCAGCCCUUUAAUACUAUGCUUCUUAUUAAAACCAGAGACUAAUGUAUAACCAAAACUGAAAGCUCCAUAGGUUACAUUGUGUUAACAUAAAUGAGAUAAAAUUACUGUGAUAGAAAUAUGCUUUAGUUUCUCUCUACAAUUACAAAAACGGAAGUUGAAUGAGGAAUUUAAAAGAUAACAAUACACUUUUAUCUUGUAACUUAGUGUUAAUCUCAGUGAAAUAUACUUUUCAGGAUAACAUUUUCAAAUGGAGCAAGUAUCGUUACAGAUUGAUGGCAUAGCCUUUAUUUGCCUUGUUAACAUUAAGGUAGGAAGACUUCUGACACAAAAAUGUCAGACUAACAGUAGUGACUCAGAAGCAGAAAUUCAAAAAACGCACUUGCUGUAAAUUUUGCUACACUGCCCAGGGCACUUCUUUGUCUGUAUGUGUAACAUGUAUUCAGCUAUUGUAAAGUUUCUUUAACAGUCCUGGAAGUACUAUGACAGUAACAAGGAAGAUUGAUAGCAGAUUCCAUGCCUCUUUGUUAAUCACAUUAAGAACUCUGCUUGGUACUCUUUGAUGUUGUGUCUGGAAAUAUAUAUCCCCACCACACCAUAUUGAAAGCUUUCAUCCUAUUACCCAUCUGCUGCCAGAACAGUUUAAAUGCAAAAUGAUCAGUUUAAAUGCAAAAAAUGGGUGAUGGGGUGUGAAAGUCAAAGAUUUGCCAAGCAUACCGUUUUUCUACUACUCGUUCUUCUAAUUACCUUUUGGGAAAUGAGAGAACCUAACCAUACAACAUUUUGAAAUGUUUCCUUAGGGAAUCUGAAUAAUAUUUUAUGUAGCUUGAGUUAUAUGAUAAUGACAAGCAUGUCUUCAAACAUUAAAAUUAAACCCAUGGAUGUGGCAUAGUGCCUGUUGUUUUUCAUCAUAGGAGUUUAUGAUAAAACUGAGCACUGGAGUCUGCAGUUUAUAAAAAGAUGUUUCCUUCUAUUUAGCUGGAGGAGUUUCUUAGACUAGUGGAUUGGUUCCCAGGUCCUACAGUCAGAUAAAUAAAAAGUUGCAGCAGGGGGACCAACUAGUAGUGAGUACAUUUCAUCAGUUGGAGAGAGAAAAUUUAUUUCUUCAAUUACUUUAGAACAUCUGCAUGUUACAAAGAGGAAUGUGCAUUAACACAAUUAACCAUUUCUUUUUUUAAUUGAAUUCAUGGAUUCAUUCCUAAGUUUUCUAAUCAGUUUUGCUCUGGUGUCAUAAGUUAAGGGAGAAUCAAUACCAAACUUAUUUUCCUGCAUGAAGAGAUUGCUUGGAUAAUAGAUUUUUUCCAAUGCUUUUGGAAAUAUUGAGUCUAAUAAAAUAACUCUAACAGAGAUACAAUUAUUCAUAUCAGUAAGUUGUUCAUCAGAAAUAUUUCACAAACACUAGACCUGAAUCUAUAUUGGAGGCAAAAUCAUUCAAUUCAGUAGAGCAGUUGCAAUUUUCUCAUAUAGUAAAAUGACCAGUUGCACCUAGUAAAGAGUACAGCACAACCCCUAAGUGCAGGGGAUCUGGAGGCAAAACAUGUGGGUCAAAGGCUCACUGUAUCAAUUUCCAGCUGUGCAAUCUUGGGAAAGGUUCUUCAUUUGUAAAAUGAUGCUUAAAAGCUGUACCUGACUUUUAGGAUUGUUGUAAACAUUAAAUUUAUAAAUGAGAAUGAUCUUAUAACUGUACAUGUUAACCAUUGUUUAAACCUUUAUGAAUAAAAUUCUAGAUGAGUCA